rnacentral:rRNA from 1 species
CGGGACACGUGGUAUCCUGUCUGAAUAUGGGGGGACCAUCCUCCAAGGCUAAAUACUCCUGACUGACCGAUAGUGAACCAGUACCGUGAGGGAAAGGCGAAAAGAACCCCGGCGAGGGGAGUGAAAAAGAACCUGAAACCGUGUACGUACAAGCAGUGGGAGCACGCUUAGGCGUGUGACUGCGUACCUUUUGUAUAAUGGGUCAGCGACUUAUAUUCUGUAGCAAGGUUAACCGAAUAGGGGAGCCGAAGGGAAACCGAGUCUUAACUGGGCGUUAAGUUGCAGGGUAUAGACCCGAAACCCGGUGAUCUAGCCAUGGGCAGGUUGAAGGUUGGGUAACACUAACUGGAGGACCGAACCGACUAAUGUUGAAAAAUUAGCGGAUGACUUGUGGCUGGGGGUGAAAGGCCAAUCAAACCGGGAGAUAGCUGGUUCUCCCCGAAAGCUAUUUAGGUAGCGCCUCGUGAAUUCAUCUCCGGGGGUAGAGCACUGUUUCGGCAAGGGGGUCAUCCCGACUUACCAACCCGAUGCAAACUGCGAAUACCGGAGAAUGUUAUCACGGGAGACACACGGCGGGUGCUAACGUCCGUCGUGAAGAGGGAAACAACCCAGACCGCCAGCUAAGGUCCCAAAGUCAUGGUUAAGUGGGAAACGAUGUGGGAAGGCCCAGACAGCCAGGAUGUUGGCUUAGAAGCAGCCAUCAUUUAAAGAAAGCGUAAUAGCUCACUGGUCGAGUCGGCCUGCGCGGAAGAUGUAACGGGGCUAAACCAUGCACCGAAGCUGCGGCAGCGACACUAUGUGUUGUUGGGUAGGGGAGCGUUCUGUAAGCCUGUGAAGGUGUACUGUGAGGUAUGCUGGAGGUAUCAGAAGUGCGAAUGCUGACAUAAGUAACGAUAAAGCGGGUGAAAAGCCCGCUCGCCGGAAGACCAAGGGUUCCUGUCCAACGUUAAUCGGGGCAGGGUGAGUCGACCCCUAAGGCGAGGCCGAAAGGCGUAGUCGAUGGGAAACAGGUUAAUAUUCCUGUACUUGGUGUUACUGCGAAGGGGGGACGGAGAAGGCUAUGUUGGCCGGGCGACGGUUGUCCCGGUUUAAGCGUGUAGGCUGGUUUUCCAGGCAAAUCCGGAAAAUCAAGGCUGAGGCGUGAUGACGAGGCACUACGGUGCUGAAGCAACAAAUGCCCUGCUUCCAGGAAAAGCCUCUAAGCAUCAGGUAACAUCAAAUCGUACCCCAAACCGACACAGGUGGUCAGGUAGAGAAUACCAAGGCGCUUGAGAGAACUCGGGUGAAGGAACUAGGCAAAAUGGUGCCGUAACUUCGGGAGAAGGCACGCUGAUAUGUAGGUGAAGUCCCUCGCGGAUGGAGCUGAAAUCAGUCGAAGAUACCAGCUGGCUGCAACUGUUUAUUAAAAACACAGCACUGUGCAAACACGAAAGUGGACGUAUACGGUGUGACGCCUGCCCGGUGCCGGAAGGUUAAUUGAUGGGGUUAGCGCAAGCGAAGCUCUUGAUCGAAGCCCCGGUAAACGGCGGCCGUAACUAUAACGGUCCUAAGGUAGCGAAAUUCCUUGUCGGGUAAGUUCCGACCUGCACGAAUGGCGUAAUGAUGGCCAGGCUGUCUCCACCCGAGACUCAGUGAAAUUGAACUCGCUGUGAAGAUGCAGUGUACCCGCGGCAAGACGGAAAGACCCCGUGAACCUUUACUAUAGCUUGACACUGAACAUUGAGCCUUGAUGUGUAGGAUAGGUGGGAGGCUUUGAAGUGUGG